rnacentral:rRNA from 1 species
CCCUUAGAUGUCCUGGGCCGCACGCGCGCUACACUGAGUGUCUGAGAUACGAGUCUGCCUGGUCCGGCAAGGUCUAGGUAAUCGCUAAAAGACACAUCAUGCUUGGGAUAGAUUAUUGCAAAUAUUAAUCUUGAACGAGGAAUUCCUAGUAAGCGCAAGUCAACAGCUUGCGUUGAUUACGUCCCUGCCCUUUGUACACACCGCCCGUCGCUACAACUGAUUGGAUGUUUAAGCGAGGUUCUCGAACUGCUAGCGACUUAGCUUCGGUGAGGUCGCAGUGUGGGAAGUGAACCUAGCUUUGGUGUCUAGAGGAAGUAAAAGUCGUAACA